UCUCCUUUUACUGAAAGAAAGUCUGAGACAAAACCCAACCCUAACAAGCACAAAAUCAUCUUCAUCUUCCUCUCUUCGAUGAUGGCAAUAGAGGAGACAUUGACGUGUGCUCUUCUUUGCUAAUUCAUCCUCAUCUUCAUCUUCCUCAGACAUUGACGUGCUACUAAAUCAUCUUCUUCUUCGUCUUCUUCUCUUCGAGGAUGGCAAUGGAGGUCUUGACACGCGUUUGAGCUUUGAUUCUCUCUGCUUGUAGUUCGAGAUUCAAUCUUCUCUGCUCGCAAUCGAGAUUCAAUCCACUUUGUUCGCGUUUGACCUUCGAUCAUCUCCGCUAGCAGUUUGAGCUUCCAUCAUUUCUGCUCACUUGUUCAUCACCGGAUCUAUAAAGUCUUUAGGUUUUGCUUACCGUUCAUCUAUGAUCUCUUCCAAUUUGCCAGCGUUCUUCUGCUAGGGUUCAUUACCGCUGAUCAUUGUUUUACAGCUGUUUGAUUUUGCUGACAAGUAUAGAGGAUCGUACUCGCUUUCUUGCCCAUUCUACUGCUCCUACUCAGGUUACCAGGUAUAAUCUGCCUUGGGUAACGAUGAGCUUAGAAAAACUCU